rnacentral:rRNA from 1 species
UACGGAGGGUGCGAGCGUUGUCCGGAAUCACUGGGCGUAAAGGGCGCGUAGGCGGCAGGCCAAGCGUGCGGUGAAAGUCCGGGGCUCAACCCCGGAUCUGCCGUGCGGACUGGUUUGCUGGAGCACUGUAGAGGCGAGUGGAAUUCCGAGUGUAGAGGUGAAAUUCGUAGAUAUUCGGAAGAACACCGGUGGCGAAGGCGGCUCACUGGUCCGAUACUGACGCUGAGGCACGAAAGCUAGGGGAGCAAACAGG